rnacentral:rRNA from 1 species
UACGUAGGGCGCAAGCGUUAUCCGGAAUUAUUGGGCGUAAAGGGCGCGUAGGCGGCUCUGCACGUCCGUUGUGAAAUCGCCCGGCUCAACUGGGCGGGGGCAGCGGAUACGGCAGAGCUUGAGCACGCUAGGGGGCAAUGGAAUUCCCGGUGUAGUGGUGGAAUGCGUAGAUAUCGGGAGGAACACCAGUGGCGAAGGCGGUUGCCUGGGGCUUUGCUGACGCUGAUGCGCGAAAGCGUGGGGAGCGAACCGG